rnacentral:rRNA from 1 species
UACGUAGGGUGCGAGCGUUACUCGGAAUCACUGGGCGUAAAGCGCACGUAGGCGGGUUCUUAAGUCGGGGGUGAAAUCCUGGAGCUCAACUCCAGAACUGCCUUCGAUACUGGAGAGCUCGAGUCCGGGAGAGGUGAGUGGAACUGCGAGUGUAGAGGUGAAAUUCGUAGAUAUUCGCAAGAACACCAGUGGCGAAGGCGGCUCACUGGCCCGGUACUGACGCUGAGGUGCGAAAGCGUGGGGAGCAAACAGG